GGGCAUCGGGCCGAAAACCGGCUCCGGAUGUGCUCGGGUCUAGUGGGCACGCUGCUAUCCGAGGUGGAGCCGGAGAGGAUCGAGUGGCUGUGGCCGGGACGUAUACCCUUGGGCAAGCUGACCGUGGUGGACGGAGAUCCCGGUUUGGGAAAGAGCGCCAUGACGCUCGACAUCGCGACCCGGGUUAGCGCCGGCCUCAAGUUGCCGGAUGGGGAGCAGUGCGAGCCCGCCGGCGUGCU
rnacentral:misc_RNA from 1 species